rnacentral:other from 18 species
GUUGCACUGCGACGUUGGUGACUGCCAUCAAGUUUUUUGAUCUAUGUCUUUAAGAAAAAGGGAACCAAACGUCUCUCGUGGCAGUAUACCGGGCUUGUACCCGGAAACUUUAAACGAGGAAAAUCGGUACCCACCUGGUUUAACCAGGUCAUAAACUUAGGUAAAACGGCGUUGCGGUGAACUC